CCUACGGGGGGCAGCAGUGGGGAAUAUUGGACAAUGGGCGAAAGCCUGAUCCAGCCAUGCCGCGUGUGUGAAGAAGGCCUUCGGGUUGUAAAGCACUUUCAGUGGGGAAGAAAGCCUUGGGGCUAAUACCCUCGAGGAAGGACAUCACCCACAGAAGAAGCACCGGCUAACUCCGUGCCAGCAGCCGCGGUAAUACGGAGGGUGCGAGCGUUAAUCGGAAUUACUGGGCGUAAAGCGCGCGUAGGCGGUCUGAUAAGCCGGUUGUGAAAGCCCCGGGCUCAACCUGGGAACGGCAUCCGGAACUGUCAGGCUUGAGUGCAGGAGAGGAAGGUAGAAUUCCCGGUGUAGCGGUGAAAUGCGUAGAGAUCGGGAGGAAUACCAGUGGCGAAGGCGGCCUUCUGGACUGACACUGACGCUGAGGUGCGAAAGCGUGGGUAGCAAACAGGAUUAGAUACCCCGGUAGUC
rnacentral:rRNA from 1 species